CAGAAAAGGGAACUGAGUCAGACAAAAGAGCAGGACUCUUUAAUGUGGAAAAGCAAAGACUGAAGGAAUCACGGGAUCAGGAGGUAGGAAACAGCGAAUGGCCUAGAGGAGUUUGGCGAUGGGCACUGCAAGUGGAUUGUGGUAUGACUGUGUUAGGACCAGGGUGAGGAGCACUGGAUGAAAUGGGCGUUUAAGAGGUGGUGUAGACAGGUAUUGCAAGGGGAUUUUUUAGGGAUGAGAACUAACUUGUGAAGACAAAGCCAUAAGUGGCUCCUGUAGAAGCUGGACUGCACCUCGCCUUUAACACUUGACAUCAGGGAGGGGGCAUGUGGUCCAGGCACAUCCUGGGUGGGGGCACCAUUGGUUACUGGACCCUGGCCCAGGUGGAUAGGGUCUGACCCAGUGGAGUGUCCUCCGUUCCUGAGAAAUACAGGAUUUGGUCAAAGAUGUUCAGUUUCAAAAUUGACACACUACUUAGGCAAAAAAAAGUGUAGUUAUACUUUUUAAUAUUUGCAAGGUCUUUUAUUAAAGAGUAGAAAGAACGGCUCCUUAUGACAAGAUAAUCAGUGAUUACAAUCUUUUAGAAACCUGAUUUUUCUCUCUCCCCAUCUCUGCCAAAAUAUCUAACAAAUUGUGUUGACAUCCCACUGUUAGGAGAGGGCCAGACCUUCCUAAUCAGGUGUCCUGGUGAGAGGAGGACUUCAUUAUACGGAUUCGGCUCCCUGAGCGAGAUGGCCAAGACAAAACUGCCCACGUAAUUUUUGUAUUUUCAUGGAAAUACGAAGGGGAUAUAAUUUCAGCAAAACCCUGCCGGCUUCACUUGGUGACUACAACCAAAGAUUAUGUGUCAAGUGCAGGAGGGUCCCUCUCUGACAGGUCUGAUUAGUGGUGACCCCCCCAUCAGAGUAGAGACAGAGCUCACGGUUUAAAAGUUUCAUCGGGGCCAGGCGUGAUGGCUCACACCCGUAAUUCCAACACUUCAAGAGGCAGAGGCAGAAGCAUCACUCAAGCCUAAGAGUUCAAGGCCAGCCUGGGUAACAUGGCAAGACCCAUCUCUACAAAAAAUUUAAAAAUAAAAAAAUUUAAAGCUA
rnacentral:sRNA from 1 species